rnacentral:ncRNA from 2 species
GAUGGCUGUCGUGACUGGCGUGCAGAUGGGACACCAUCGGGGAACGACGUUUCGCAUCAAUUGGCCGCUCGCCUGGGUCGUAUUU